rnacentral:rRNA from 1 species
UACGUAGGGGGCAAGCGUUGUCCGGAUUCAUUGGGCGUAAAGCGCGGGCAGGCGGCCCGCUCAGUCGGCCGUGAAAGCGCCGGGCUCAACUCGGCGAGGUCGGGCGAUACUGGCGGGCUCGAGUCCGGAAGAGGAGUGUGGAAUUCCUGGUGUAGCGGUGAAAUGCGCAGAUAUCAGGAGGAACACCAAUGGCGAAGGCAGCACUCUGGGACGUGACUGACGCUGAGACGCGAAAGCGUGGGGAGCAAACAGG